UACGAAGGGGGCUAGCGUUGCUCGGAAUUACUGGGCGUAAAGGGCGCGUAGGCGGAUAUCUAAGUUGGGGGUGAAAUCCCGGGGCUCAACCUCGGAAUUGCCUUCAAAACUGGAUAUCUUGAGUUCGGGAGAGGUGAGUGGAACUCCGAGUGUAGAGGUGAAAUUCGUAGAUAUUCGGAAGAACACCAGCGGCGAAGGCGGCGUCCUGGACUGGUACUGACGCUCAGGAGCGAAAGCGUGGGGAGCGAUCCGG
rnacentral:rRNA from 1 species